CUUGGCGUCUUCUUGGGCCAUAGGCGUCCUUCGAAUCGUCCCUUUCCUCGCCCCUCUGCAUCCCUCAGGGCGAUCUAUAUUAGUCCCAGAACCUCCGUCCUUCUUCUUUCCAUUUAGGGGCAUUUUCUUCGCCAUUUUCUUCUGUCGUAUUCCUCCGAGUUAGUCUCCUGUGACCUCUCGUCCUUUGUCCCAUCUGUUUUCUUC
rnacentral:lncRNA from 1 species